GUGUUUGUAACUACCUAAAAAAACCUCCAGCGUUUUCCUUCUGUCUAGUCACAGUUAAAAGAGCAUCUAAUAAUUUCUGCAUCUUCCUGAAGUGGACAGAGAUGCCUGCAGACGCUUUCCGCGCAGCAUGUCUGGGAGCCAGGAGAUAAUGCCUGCAGUUCAACAAGCCGGUUAUAUAAUCAGGCAAGGCCACAGAGCUGGAUGGUAUGUUUCUUAGCGUUGGUUCAGGGUACAGUAAGUAGUUACUCAGCACACAUUCAGAGGUGGGUGUGUGGGUGUGUGGGUGAUUCCUCCCAGGUUGUGGCAGGC
rnacentral:lncRNA from 1 species